AGGGGCCGGCGGCUUCGGCAGCCUUGGGGAGGGGAGGCGAGGCGGCGUGCUCCGGCCAUUUUCAGCUCGGGUGGAGUUAAGUUUAGAAUCUGUAACCUGGAGGGG
ensembl:misc_RNA